rnacentral:rRNA from 1 species
CCUACGGGCGGCAGCGGGGAAUAUUGGACAAUGGGGGCAACCCUGAUCCAGCCAUGCCGCGUGUGUGAAGAAGGCCCUCGGGUUGUAAAGCACUUUCAGUGAGGAAGAACGCCUGGUGGUUAAUACCCAUCAGGAAAGACAUCACUCACAGAAGAAGCACCGGCUAACUCCGUGCCAGCAGCCGCGGUAAUACGGAGGGUGCGAGAGUUAAUCGGAAUUACGGGGCGUAAAGCGCGCGUAGGUGGCUUGAUAAGCCGGUUGUGAAAGCCCCGGGCUCAACCUGGGAACGGCAUCCGGAACUGUCAAGCUAGAGUGCAGGAGAGGAAGGUAGAAUUCCCGGUGUAGCGGUGAAAUGCGUAGAGAUCGGGAGGAAUACCAGUGGCGAAGGCGGCCUUCUGGACUGACACUGACACUGAGGUGCGAAAGCGUGGGUAGCAAACAGGAUUAGAUACCCUAGUAGUC